rnacentral:tRNA from 1 species
GGGGUUGCAGCUCAAUGGUAGAGCACUCGCCUUGCAUGUGUGAGGCACUGGGUUCGAUCCUCAGCACCG